UCCUGAGAAAACGGCUACCACAUCCAAGGAAGGCAGCAGGCGCGCAAAUUACCCAAUCCAGACAAUGGGAGGUGGUGACGAAAAGUACCGAGUGGCGACAAUGUUGCCAGCUUGGAAUGAAUGCAAUUUAAGCAAUUGAAUUGAGAAACAACUGGAGGGCAAGUCUGGUGCCAGCAGCCGCGGUAAUUCCAGCUCCAGUAGCCUAUCUCAAAGUUGCUGCGCUUAAAACGCUCGUAGUUGGAUCACGCACUGCGCGGGGGUGUGCGGCCGGGUGCGGGGUCGCCGAAUUUGCAGUUCGGGGCUUCGAAGUCACGGUCGCUAUGAGUCGCCGCGCAGUAAUUGCACGUGAGGGUGGCAGUUGGCCUUGAGUGCGUCGACAGUCGUGUCUCACGGGGUGUGCCUUGAGUAAAUCAGAGUGCUCAAAGCAGGCGAAUGCCUGAAUGUUGAUAGCAUGGAACGAACAAUCGUGUAGGGUGUGCGCUGAGCACGGCGCGUCGUUUGACCGCCGCAGCGCACGACACCGACCGCCAAUGACGGAUGUUGGUUCCGUAUUGGGGUACCGAUUAAGAGGAGCGGUUGGGGGCAUUGGUAUUUGGCAGCGAGAGGUGAAAUUCUUGGACCUGCCAAGGACUAACAAAUGCGAAGGCAUCUGUCCAGACCGUAUCCAUUAAUCAAGAACGAAAGUGAGAGGUUCGAAAGCGAUCAGAUACCGCCCUAGUUCUCACUGUAAACGAUGCCGACCCGGGAUCAGUUUGGAGCCAUUUUCCACGCUCGAGGUUGGUCCCCCUGGGAAACCUUAAGUUUUUCGGUUGCGGGGGGAGUAUGGUCGCAAGGCUGAAACUUAAAGGAAUUGACGGAAGGGCACCACCAGGGGUGGAGCCUGCGGCUUAAUUUGACUCAACACGGGAAAACUUACCUGGGUCCGGACAUCAAAAGGAUAGACAGACUAAAAGAUCUUUCUUGAUAUGGCUGAUUGAUGGGUGCAAUGGCCGUUCUUAGUUCGUGAAGUGAUUUGUCAGGUUGAUUCCGGUAACGAACGAGACCACGAUCUCCACUUGAGGAGCCGGAGAAGGCGGCGCUCUGGUGCUACCCGGCAACGGGGAGCGCUUUUGCGUCGCUCAAGGCGGUUCUGUGGUUGCGGCGGUGGGGCGUGUAACAGCGCCUGUCGCAGCGGCCGCGGGGCUCCCUCCGGUCAUACAGUGUGGCGCCUCCCGGGGUGACGUGCUGUGUCGUGGAGAGACAACGGAACAUAACAAAAUCCGAGGAAGUGUGGCUAUAACAGGUCUGUGAUGCCCUUAGAUGUUCAGGGCUGCACGCGCGCUACAAUGACGAUGACAACGAGUUUCUGGAUCGGCAGAUUCGGGUAAUCUUGCAAUCAUCGUCGUGAUGGGGACUGAUGUUUGUAAAGACAUCACGAAAGAGGAAUCCCUAGUACACGUAGUUCAUGAAACUGCGUGGAUUUAGUCCCUUGCCCUUUGUA
rnacentral:rRNA from 1 species